GACGAACCGAGCGAACGUUGUUCGGAAUCACUGGGCUUAAAGGGCGCGUAGGCGGGUGCUCAAGUCCGGGGUGAAAUCCUCCAGCUCAACUGGAGAACUGCCUCGGAUACGGGCGGCCUCGAGGGGGGUAGGGGCAUCUGGAACUGUGAGUGGAGCGGUGAAAUGCGUUGAUAUUCACAGGAACUCCGGUGGCGAAGGCGAGGUGCUGGACCCCAUCUGACGCUGAGGCGCGAAAGCCAGGGGAGCGAACGGG
rnacentral:rRNA from 1 species